AGUCCUGCUGUAACACACUGGAGUACCUGAGCUACUUAAAGUGAACACUCGUACAGAGACGCUACUUGGAGUCCUGCUGUAACACACUGGAGUACCUGAACUUCUUAAAGUGAACACUCGUACAGAGACUCUACCGAGUACUACGCAGAGGCUUGGAGACGCUACUGAGUACUACGCAGAGGCUUGGAGGUACAGCUACAAGAGUACUGAAUUGAUGAGUACUGAAUCUACACAAGCAUAGUCCUGCUGUAAAACACUGGAGUACCCGAGCUACUUAAAGUGAACACUCGUACAGAGACACUACUGAGUACUACGCAGAGGCUUGGAGGUAUUUGCUCCUGAUAUCCUGACCAGUACACAUACAGAAAGAAGUGUUCCACUACCAAUUUCCAUUCAUCUGUGGGUCUCCUGACAUGUUGGGAGAGCGAGGAUUUCAAUGUCGGACUGCUCUUGAGUUAACAAUCAUCAUGCAGUCCUUGGAGAACGUCGGGGGUUGUUUGUGUGUGUGUGUGUGUGUGUGUGUGUGUGU